rnacentral:rRNA from 1 species
ACGCUCGACACCUACGGGAGGUAGCAGUGGGGAAUAUUGCACAAUGGGGGAAACCCUGAUGCAGCGACGCCGCGUGGAGGAAGAAGGUCUUCGGAUUGUAAACUCCUGUUGUUGGGGAAAAANAGGAUGGUACCCAACAAGGAAGUGACGGCUAACUACGUGCCGGCAGCCGCGGUAAUCUGAGCGGGCUGGCAAGGC